CAGCAGGCGGGACCCUCUCAGGGUCAAGCAGCGUGGGACUACUUCCAGUAGUUGACUGAGCUCCGCAGCAGAGCCGGAUCGUGCGCUUCCGAGCCUUGAACCUUCGUAGGACUCUUUCUUCAUGUUAUUUCCUUUGAACUCUGUUUUGUUGAAAUUGAAGUUCUUAGACA